rnacentral:rRNA from 1 species
UACGUAGGGAGCAAGCGUUGUCCGGAUUUAUUGGGCGUAAAGAGCUCGUAGGCGGUUCGGUAAGUCGGGUGUGAAAACUCUGGGCUCAACCCGGAGAGGCCACUCGAUACUGCUGUGACUUGAGUCUGGUAGGGGAGCACGGAAUUCCUGGUGUAGCGGUGAAAUGCGCAGAUAUCAGGAGGAACACCGGUGGCGAAGGCGGAUCUCUGGGCCAUUACUGACGCUGAGGAGCGAAAGCGUGGGGAGCGAACAGG